rnacentral:rRNA from 1 species
AACGUAGGAGACAAACGUUAUCCGGAGUUACUGGGCGUAAAGGGCGUGUAGGUGGUUUCGUAAGUCUGGCGUGAAAUUUUUCGGCUUAACCGGGAAAGGUCGUCGGAUACUGCGGAGCUAGAGGACGGUAGAGGCGUGUGGAAUUCCGGGUGUAGUGGUGAAAUGCGUAGAGAUCCGGAGGAACACCAGUGGCGAAGGCGACACGCUGGGCCGUACCUGACACUGAACCGCGACAGCAUGGGGAGCAAACAGG